rnacentral:rRNA from 1 species
AUUGAACGCUGGCGGCAGGCUUAACACAUGCAAGUCGAGCGAGCGGCGGACGGGUGAGUAAUGUCUUGGAAACUGCCUGAUGGAGGGGGAUAACUACGGGAAACGGUAGCUAAUACCGCAUACCAUCAGAUGUGCCCAGAUGGGAUUAGGUAGUUGGUGGGGUAAUGGCUCACCAAGGCGACGAUCCCUAGCUGGUCUGAGAGGAUGACCAGCCACACUGGAACUGAGACACGGCCCAGACUCCUACGGGAGGCAGCAGUGGGGAAUAUUGCACAAUGGGCGAAAGCCUGAGCGAGCCACGCCGCGUGGGUGAAGAAGGUCUUCGGGUUGUAAAGCACUUUCGGUGGGGAGGCGUUACCUGCCGAAGAAGCAACGGCUAACUCCGUGCCAGCAGCCGCGGUAAUUC